GUGGGGAAUUUUGGACAAUGGGCGCAAGCCUGAUCCAACAAUGCCGCGUGUGUGAAGAAGGCCUUCGGGUUGUAAAGCACUUUUGUCCGGAAAGAAAUGGCCUGGGUUAAUACCCCGGGUCGAUGACGGUACCGGAAGAAUAAGCACCGGCUAACUACGUGCCAGCAGCCGCGGUAAUACGUAGGGUGCGAGCGUUAAUCGGAAUUACUGGGCGUAAAGCGUGCGCAGGCGGCGAUGCAAGACAGAUGUGAAAUCCCCGGGCUCAACCUGGGAACUGCAUUUGUGACUGCAUGGCUAGAGUGCGUCAGAGGGGGGUGGAAUUCCGCGUGUAGCAGUGAAAUGCGUAGAGAUGCGGAGGAACACCGAUGGCGAAGGCAGCCCCCUGGGAUGACACUGACGCUCAUGCACGAAAGCGUGGGGAGCAAACAGGAUUAGAAACCCCUGUAGUCC
rnacentral:rRNA from 1 species